rnacentral:rRNA from 1 species
UACGUAGGGAGCAAGCGUUGUCCGGAAUCAUUGGGCGUAAAGCGCGCGUAGGUGGCCCCGUAAGUCCGCUGUGAAAGUCAAAGGCUCAACCUUUGAAAGCCGGUGGAUACUGUGGGGCUAGAGUACGGAAGAGGCGAGUGGAAUUCCUGGUGUAGCGGUGGAAUGCGCAGAUAUCUGGAGGAACACCGGUGGCGAAGGCGGCAUUCUGGACUGUAACGUGACACUGAGGAACGAAAGCCAGGG